rnacentral:lncRNA from 1 species
UAAAAACUCAGCCUCAGAGCAGCAUUUGCUGGACCAGUUUUCAAAACAGUGCAAUGUAAUCACUUAGACCAUUGUUUUGGACUCCUUGGCUGAAGGGAGAGCAACAAGCAACCACACCUUCAUCUGGGAAAAUAAUUCAGUGCAGGGAGAGGGGAAAUAUGACAAAGCAAGAUUUCUUAGGAAAAGCUGUGUAUCUGGAAAUUCCUUGUAUCUGGAAAAGGCUUCAUAUUGAAUAUGGUACCUGAACUGAGAGUUGAAAGGACAC